UACGGGGGGGGCAAGCGUUGUUCGGAAUUCAUCUGGGUACGGUAAAGGGCGCGUGAUGGCGGCCUUCUAAGUUCGGACGAUGAAAUUCCCUCGGCUUAAACCGAGGAACUGCGUCCGAUACUGAAAGGCUUGAAUCCGGGAGAGGGAUGUGGAAUUCCAGGUGAUAGCGGUGAAAUGCGUAGAUAUCUGGAGGAACACCGGUGGCGAAGGCGGCAUCCUGGACCGGUAUUGACGCUGAGGCGCGAAAGCUAGGGGAGCAAACGGG
rnacentral:rRNA from 1 species